GUCAGGUGUAGGAUCAAGGCUGCGUUUAUAUAAAGACAGAGGAACGUGCAGUGGAAACCCUUGCUUAGAAAGGGAAAGGACCAACGGAUUUUGGAAGGCACACUAUGAGGAUCUUAAUUUUUGUCCUCACGUUGAGCGUUUUCUCGUGUUCAGGGUUUCCAGUGUACGACUACGAGCUCCCUGUCACAGAAGAGGCUCUCAAUGCUUCCAUUGCAAGGAUCAAUUCUCAGUCUUGGGGGACAAACCUGUACGGUGUUGUCAGGAGCCACGUCACAAGAGUUGACAUGUGGAACAGCAACGCUUAUAGGCUAGAGCUACAGUUCAGCAUCCGUGAAACUGUGUGCACGAAAGCUUCAGGGAGAGACCCGUUCACGUGUGACUUCAAACUUGGGCCUUUCGUGCCAACCGCUUUCUGCAGAAGUAGUGUGGAAGUCUCCGGUGAGUUGAUCUCGAACGUUAUCGUGCAGUGCCAUCGUGGCACAUCCAGCUCCGAAUCGAUGAGCAGCGAGGAGAUGAUGCGUGUGCCGAUAAUGAACCCCAACAGGCGAGGCAGCAGUCGCAGAGAAGAGGUAUUUGCUCCUGACGCCUUCCGUUCGAGGGGAAGAGGUGGCAGCCGUGGAGACUGGCAUAAACCCAGCUACUUCAGCUCUGACAAGAUUGAAUAAUGCGGAUCGGGCAACAGUAUGGGUAACUGACGGCUGCAAAAAUUACUAAGAUUGGAGGACGAGAAGAAUCAAGAUUCAAAGAUCCAGCGUGUGAAGAACGAACCUGACGCCAUUUCCUUUUCUUUCUGAUGGAAAACGAUUCUGUAAGGAAGUGACAGUUUUUCCCUAAACUUUCAGCUGUGACGUCAAACGGCCAUUGGAUGAGCUCAUCAGCUGCUAAAUGCGUGCACUCAGUCCAUAGCCACCUUCUGAUGUGUUAGAGCUCGCUGGGAGGACUGUCUCAGACACCUAACUGUGUCCAGUGUGUGUGGUAUCAUCUCAUAACGAUGCUAUUAAAGGAUCAUUACUCCAUCUGUUUGUUCUGCCUUGCUCUCUGGUUGCUUGUAAUUUUCUGUAAUGCUUGUAGCUAAUUAUUGAUUCGUUCAAAGUAAUAAAGGCACUUAAUUCCUUUGUUC